GCAAACUUGGUCAUUUAGAGGAAGUAAAAGUCGUAACAAGGUUUCCGUAGGUGAACCUGCGGAAGGAUCAUUAAUGAUUAACUGUCUGUCGAGCUUGCUCACAGACUUAUCAUAUCCAUAACACCUGUGCACUUGUCGGAUGGCUUAGUGAAGACCGCAAGGUUGGAUCUAUCCAUCUACUUUACAUAACAAUCUAGUAACAAAUGUAGUCUUAUUAUAACAUAAUAAAACUUUCAACAACGGAUCUCUUGGCUCUCGCAUCGAUGAAGAACGCAGC
rnacentral:misc_RNA from 1 species